rnacentral:misc_RNA from 1 species
GAUGAAGAACGUAGCGAAAUGCGAUACUUGGUGUGAAUUGCAGAAUCCCGUGAACCAUCGAGUCUUUGAACGCAAGUUGCGCCCGAAGCCAUUAGGCCGAGGGCACGCCUGCCUGGGCGUCACACGUCGUUGCCCCCCCAUCUACUCCUUCGGGAUUGCGGGGGGCGGAUGAUGGCCUCCCGUGCGCCUCGUCGCGCGGUUGGCCUAAAUGCCAAGUCCUCGGCGACGCACGCCACGACAAUCGGUGGUUGCGAAACCUUGGUUGCCUGUCGUGUGCGGUCGUCGCGCAUCGAGGGCUCGAAAAAAUUGCCGGGCUUCGGCUCGACUUUCAACGCGACCCCAGGUCAGGCGGGGUUACCCGCUGAAUUUAAGCAUAUCAAUAAGCGGAGGA